rnacentral:rRNA from 1 species
UACGAAGGGGGCUAGCGGUUGCUCGGAAUCACCUUGGGCGUUAAAGGCGCAACGUAGGCGGACUCUUAAGUUCAGGGGUGAAAUCCUGGAAGCCUCAAACUCCAGAACUGCCUUUGGAUACUGAGAAGCCUUCGAGUCCGGAAGAGGUAAGUGGGAACUGCGAGUGUAGAGGUGAAAUUCGUAGAUAUUCGCAAGAACACCAGUGGCGAAGGCGGACUUGACUGUCCGGUACGUGACGCUGAGGUGCGAAAGCGUGGGAGCAAC